UGCCAGCAGCCGCGGUAAUACGGAGGGUGCAAGCGUUAAUCGGAAUUACUGGGCUUAAAGAGUUCGUAGGUGGUUGAAAAAGUUGGUGGUGAAAUCCCAGAGCUUAACUCUGGAACUGCCAUCAAAACUUUUCAGCUAGAGUAUGAUAGAGGAAAGCAGAAUUUCUAGUGUAGAGGUGAAAUUCGUAGAUAUUAGAAAGAAUACCAAUUGCGAAGGCAACUUUCUGGGUCACUACUGACACUGAGGAGCGAAAGCAUGGGUAGCGAAGAGGAUUAGAUA
rnacentral:rRNA from 1 species